rnacentral:rRNA from 1 species
CAACUUUUAACAAUGGAUCUCUUGGCUCUGGCAUCGAUGAAGAACGCAGCGAAAUGCGAUAACUAGUGUGAAUUGCAGAUUUCAGUGAAUCAUCGAGUUUUUGAACGCACAUUGCGCUCCUUGGUAUUCCUCGGAGCAUGCCUAUUCGAGCGUCGUUU